rnacentral:rRNA from 1 species
CGCUGGCGGCAGGCCUAACACAUGCAAGUCGAGCGGCCGUAGCGAUACGGCAGCGGCGCACGGGUGAGUAACGCGUGGGAACCUGCCCUUUGGUUCGGAACAACCCUGGAAACUAGGGCUGAUACCGGAUGAGCCUCGAAAGAGGGAAAGAUUUAUCGCCGAAGGAGGGGCCCGCGUCCGAUUAGCUAGUUGGUGGGGUAAUGGCCUACCAAGGCUUCGAUCGGUAGCCGGUCUGAGAGGACGAUCGGCCACACUGGGACUGAGACACGGCCCAGACUCCUACGGGAGGCAGCAGUGGGGAAUAUUGGACAAUGGGCGCAAGCCUGAUCCAGCCAUGCCGCGUGGGUGAAGAAGGCCUUCGGGUUGUAAAGCCCUUUUGGCGGGGACGAUGAUGACGGUACCCGCAGAAUAAGCCCCGGCUAACUUCGUGCCAGCAGCCGCGGUAAGACGAUGGGGCAAGCGUUGUUCGGAAUUACUGGGCGUAAAGGGCGCGUAGGCGGCCUGAUAAGUCAGACGUGAAAGGCCUGGGCUCAACCUGGGAAUUGCGUUUGGGACUGUUGGGCUGGAGA